rnacentral:lncRNA from 1 species
CACCUUGAUCCACUUUAUCUCUUCUCUCGGGGGCAAGCCACCUUUCUUCUGAUGAAAAUAAGUAAGCAGCCAACACCAUUCACAGUAUUCAGCAGGGAUACCUAAAGCAACAUGCACCUUUUUCAUAUAUGGAGAAGUCUUGGGAGUUGAGCUGAAUUAUGAAUCUACAUAAGCAGAUGAAGAGAAUUAACAAAUCAAAGAGCAGCUCAGUAAAAGCACAAAGCAGUCUAAAGGCUAAGCAGUCUAUUUACCAGUGAUGAAAAUCGUCAGAACGCGCAGCUCAAGGGAAAAAUCAGACUCCCACUCUCUAUUUAUCUUCAAGGUCUCUUUGGCCCAGUCAUGAUUUCCUUUACUCCAAUGAUUGAAGAUUCUAUGGCAGGAUCGCAGCUGCCUAACUCCAUCAAUGUGGCCUAUGUCAAAGAAGUACUAAAAUUGGUUUAUGGUCAGAUCCAAGUUAAAGAAUUGGCUUAGAUUUAGGAGUCCUACCAUCACAUGGACCUCAUUGGGAGAACAUUGAGCAGGGGCACACUUCAUAGAGCAAAGGACUUCUUGGAAGAAAUGCGGCAUGGGAAAAGUAAAUCCUAACAUGAAGUAGUAAGGGUAAAACUUGAUGGCUCUCCGAGCCCCACUACAUGGCUAACGGCUACUACUUUCCUUGGCACGCUUCACACGUAUCCUUGACGGAAU